rnacentral:tRNA from 1 species
UCCCUGGUGGUCCAGUGGUUGGGAUGCCACUCUUUCACUGCUGAGGGUGCAGGUUCAAUCCCUGGUUGGGGAA